UACAGAGGGUGCGAGCGUUAAUCGGAAUUACUGGGCGUAAAGCGCGCGUAGGCGGCUUUGCAAGUCGGGUGUGAAAUCCCCAGGCUUAACCUGGGAACUGCAUUCGAGACUGCAUUGUUAGAGUAUGGGAGAGGGAAGUGGAAUUUCCGGUGUAGCGGUGAAAUGCGUAGAUAUCGGAAGGAACAUCAGUGGCGAAAGCGACUUCCUGGACCAAUACUGACGCUCAUGUGCGGAAAGCGUGGGGAGCAAACAGG
rnacentral:rRNA from 1 species